rnacentral:rRNA from 1 species
CCUACGGGCGGCUGCAGUGAGGAAUAUUGGUCAAUGGACGAGAGUCUGAACCAGCCAAGUAGCGUGAAGGAUGACUGCCCUAUGGGUUGUAAACUUCUUUUAUAUGGGAAUAAAAUGUUCCACGUGUGGGAUUUUGUAUGUACCAUAUGAAUAAGGAUCGGCUAACUCCGUGCCAGCAGCCGCGGUAAUACGGAGGAUCCGAGCGUUAUCCGGAUUUAUUGGGUUUAAAGGGUGCGUAGGUGGAUUGUUAAGUCAGUUGUGAAAGUUUGCGGCUCAACCGCGAAAUUGCAGUUGAUACUGUCCGUCUUGAGUACAGUAGAGGUGGGCGGAAUUCAUGGUGUAGCGGUGAAAUGCUUAGAUAUCACGCAGAACACCGAUUGCGAAGGCAGCUCACUAAACUACAACUGACACUGAGGCUCGAAAGUGUGGGUAUCAAACAGGAUUAGAUACCCCAGUAGUC